rnacentral:rRNA from 1 species
UAUCGAUAAGCUUGACCCNUANNGGGAGGCAGCAGUAAGGAAUAUUGGUCAAUGGGCNCANUAGCCUGAACCAGCCAUGCCGCGUGCAGGAAGACAGCCCUAUGGGUUGUAAACUGCUUUUAUAUGGGACUAACCACACCUACGUGUAGGUGUCUGCAUGUACCAUACGAAUAAGCAUCGGCUAACUCCGUGCCAGCAGCCGCGGUAAUA